AUACUUAUCUGGCAGGGGAGAUACCAUGGUCGAGAAAGUGGUUGGCCCCCGGGGGUGUUCAUCUGUUGUACUUGGGGUUUGUUGAUUGACUCCUGAGAUUUCCCCAAAUGCGGGAAACACAACUGCACACUUUGGGGGUAGUGGGAGAUUGCAUUUGUGUUCUUCUCUG